rnacentral:snRNA from 1 species
GUGCUCACUUCGGCAGCACAUAUACUAAAAUUGGAACGACACAGAGAAGAUCAGCAUGGCCCCUGCACAAGGAUGACAUGCAAAUUCGUGAAGCGUUCCAUAUUUUU